AUUGAACGCUGGCGGCAGGCCUAACACAUGCAAGUCGAGCGGAUGAAGGGAGCUUGCUCCUGGAUUCAGCGGCGGACGGGUGAGUAAUGCCUAGGAAUCUGCCUGGUAGUGGGGGAUAACGUCCGGAAACGGGCGCUAAUACCGCAUACGUCCUGAGGGAGAAAGUGGGGGUUCUUCGGACCUCACGCUAUCAGAUGAGCCUAGGUCGGAUUAGCUAGUUGGUGGGGUAAAGGCCUACCAAGGCGACGAUCCGUAACUGGUCUGAGAGGAUGAUCAGUCACACUGGAACUGAGACACGGUCCAGACUCCUACGGGAGGCAGCAGUGGGGAAUAUUGGGCAAUGGGCGAAAGCCUGAUCCAGCCAUGCCGCGUGUGUGAAGAAGGUCUUCGGAUUGUAAAGCACUUUAAGUUGGGAGGAAGGACAGUAAGUUAAUACCUUGCUGUUUUGACGUUACCAACAGAAUAAGCACCGGCUAACUUCGUG
rnacentral:rRNA from 1 species